AACAUCAAUAUUAAUCGCAGAUGCAGCACUAUGUUAAUGAUCCUUAUCUUAAAGGUAUCAUGAGUUUGAUUCAGGGAUCUUUCCUUAUAUCAAACUCGUUUUUUGGUGUUGUUUAGCGUAGAAUAAUAAUUUUUGAACGUUGCUGGGCGCCUGAUGUUGAAUUUUUUGAUGAUACAUUGGGAAUCAGCUGUCUCAACAUUU
rnacentral:snoRNA from 1 species